rnacentral:rRNA from 1 species
GACAGAGGGUGCAAACGUUGUUCGGAAUUACUGGGCGUAAAGCGCGUGUAGGCGGCUAUGUGUGUCGGGCGUGAAAUCCCAUGGCUCAACCAUGGAAGUGCACCCGAAACUGCAUAGCUAGAGUCCUGGAGAGGAAGGUGGAAUGCUUGGUGUAGAGGUGAAAUUCGUAGAUAUCAAGCGGAACACCGGUGGCGAAGGCGGCCUUCUGGACAGUGACUGACGCUGAGACGCGAAAGCGUGGGGAGCAAACAGG